rnacentral:rRNA from 1 species
UACGAAGGGGGCUAGCGUUGCUCGGAAUCACUGGGCGUAAAGGGUGCGUAGGCGGGUCUUUAAGUCAGGGGGGAAAUCCUGGAGCUCAACUCCAGAACUGCCUUUGAUACUGAGGAUCUUGAGUUCGGGAGAGGUGAGUGGAACUGCGAGUGUAGAGGUGAAAUUCGUAGAUAUUCGCAAGAACACCAGUGGCGAAGGCGGCUCACUGGCCCGGUACUGACGCUGAGGCACGAAGGUCAGGGGAGCAAACGGG